rnacentral:rRNA from 1 species
GUGGGGAAUAUUGCACAAUGGGCGCAAGCCUGAUGCAGCGACGCCGCGUGAGGGAUGACGGCCUUCGGGUUGUAAACCUCUUUUGUUAGGGAGCAAGCGUAAGUGAGUGUACCUUUCGAAUAAGCACCGGCUAACUACGUGCCAGCAGCCGCGGUAAUACGUAGGGUGCAAGCGUUAUCCGGAAUUAUUGGGCGUAAAGAGCUCGUAGGCGGCUUGUCGCGUCCGGUGUGAAAGUCCAUCGCUUAACGGUGGAUCUGCGCCGGGUACGGGCAGGCUAGAAUGCGGUAGGGGAGACUGGAAUUCCCGGUGUAACGGUGGAAUGUGUAGAUAUCGGGAAGAACACCAAUGGCGAAGGCAGGUCUCUGGGCCGUUAUUGACGCUGAGGAGCGAAAGCGUGGGGAGCGAACAGGAUUAGAAACCCCAGUAGUCC